rnacentral:rRNA from 1 species
UACGAAGGGUGCAAGCGUUACUCGGAAUUACUGGGCGUAAAGCGUGCGUAGGUGGUGAGUUAAGUCUGAUGUGAAAUCCCCGGGCUCAACCUGGGAAUGGCAUUGGAUACUGGCUCGCUAGAGUGCGGUAGAGGGUGGUGGAAUUCCCGGUGUAGCAGUGAAAUGCGUAGAGAUGUGGAGGAACACCGAUGGCGAAGGCAGCCCCCUGGGCUGACACUGACGCUCAGGCACGAAAGCGUGGGGAGCAAACAGG